rnacentral:rRNA from 1 species
AUUGAACGCUGGCGGCAUGCUUUACACAUGCAAGUCGAACGGUAACAGGCCUUCGGGUGCUGACGAGUGGCGAACGGGGGAGUAAUGCAUCGGAACGUGCCCAGAGGUGGGGGAUAACGCAGCGAAAGCUGUGCUAAUACCGCAUGUGAUCUGAGGAUGAAAGCGGGGGACCAAGCAGCAAUGUUUGGCCUCGCGCCUCUGGAGCGGCCGAUGUCAGAUUAGGUAGUUGGUGAGGUAAAGGCCUACCAAGCCGACGAUCUGUAGCUGGUCUGAGAGGACGACCAGCCACACUGGGACUGAGACACGGCCCAGACUCCUACGGGAGGCAGCAGUGGGGAAUUUUGGACAAUGGGCGCAAGCCUGAUCCAGCAAUGCCGCGUGCGGGAAGAAGGCCUUCGGGUUGUAAACCGCUUUUGUACGGAACGAAAAGGCUCUGGCUAAUACCUGGGGCUGAUGACGGUACCGUAAGAAUAAGCACCGGCUAACUACGUG